rnacentral:pre_miRNA from 1 species
AGUGACAUGGACUCGUGACACGAGCAUCCUAGGUGCGUUUCCACCAAAGAGAGCACCAUCAUUUUGUGUACUCCAUGGUGGAAUCGCAUCCAGGAUGCCAUUGUUACGAUUAGCGAACGC